rnacentral:rRNA from 1 species
UACGUAGGGGGCAAGCGUUAUCCGGAUUUACUGGGUGUAAAGGGAGCGUAGACGGUAUGGUAAGUCAGAUGUGAAAGCCCGGGGCUCAACCCCGGGACUGCAUUUGAAACUAUCAAACUGGAGUGCAGGAGAGGUAAGUGGAAUUCCUAGUGUAGCGGUGAAAUGCGUAGAUAUUAGGAGGAACACCAGUGGCGAAGGCGGCUUACUGGACUGUAACUGACGUUGAGGCUCGAAAGCGUGGGGAGCAAACAGGAUUAGAUACCCGGGUAGUCCCUGAGCGGG